rnacentral:rRNA from 1 species
AGCCAUGCAUGUCUAAGUAUAAACGAUUGAAUCGUGAAACCGCGAAUGGCUCAUUAUAACAGCUAUAAUUUACUUGAUCUUGACACAAUCCUACUUGGAUAACUGUGGUAAUUCUAGAGCUAAUACAUGCAUUAAAGCUCUGACCUCACGGGAAGAGUGCAUUUAUUAGAUCAAAACCAAGCGGCUUCGGCUGUUUCUGGUUGACUCAUAGUAACUGAGCUGAUCGCAUGGUCUUGCACCGGCGACGUGUCUUUCAAGUAUCUGCCGUAUCAACUUUCGAUGGUAGUGUAUCUGACUACCAUGGUGAUCACGCGUAACGGAGAAUAAGGGUUCGGCUCCGGAGAGUUCGCCUGAGAAAUCGCGAACACAUCUAAGGAAGGCAGCAGGCGCGAAAAUUACCCACUCUCAGCACGAGGAGGUAGUGACGAAAAAUAACGAGACCGUUCUCUUAUGAGGCCGGUCAUCGGAAUGGGUACAAUUUAAAUCCUUUAACGAGUAUCUAUAGAG